rnacentral:rRNA from 1 species
UACGAAGGUGGCAAGCGUUGUUCGGAUUUACUGGGCGUACAGGGAGCGUAGGCGGUUGGAUAAGCCCUCCGUGAAAUCUCCAGGCUUAACCUGGAAAGUGCAGAGGGGACUGUUCAGCUAGAGGAUGGGAGAGGCGAGUGGAAUUCCGAGUGUAGAGGUGAAAUUCGUAGAUAUUCGGAAGAACACCAGUGGCGAAGGCGACUACCUGGACUGACACUGACACUGAGGUGCGAAAGCGUGGGGCGCAAACAGG